AUGCUUACUAUGGAGCAGAGAAGAGACACAGCAGAGCACAGCUUGAAGGUCGUCCGAGUAGUCAGGUCCCUGUUGGAUGCUUCUGUUACUUCCUAUGGGAUGCGAUCAGGAGGAUGGGUUCAAACCCAGAAUUUUCACUGUACACCAGGACUUCAGGAGCCAGCUGCAAGUCUGAGAAACGCAUGCCCAGCUCUUCUGUGGAGUCCUGACCUGCACUCACAUGGGUGUUCCUCACAAGCAGAUGCUAGCUCCAAACAUUACACUUGGUCUCUAUUGAAGGGCUCCCACAAGUAUCAGUCCUGGACUGGGGGAUGGAGCACAGGCUGGACAAUGCCAUUCACGGGAAGUAACUGUGCAGGAUCUCACGGAAAUCCUGAAACUGGAACCUGCAAGCAAUCAGCCAUGUGCCUGUUAACCAAGACACUGAACUGUUCUUGGGGGGGGGGGUGGACAAGCCCUCCAUGGGGUCAUAGGACACGCCCACUCUGUUCACACACCUGUGGGUAA
rnacentral:lncRNA from 1 species